GUAUGUUCAACCAUCAAAGAUCUUUAUCCAAAACUGGAAAGUGUGUCUGGGGGCUGGCUGAUUUACAAAGGAGCAGGAGGGUGAGGUUCUAGAAAACUAUAUAUGGUGUCUCCUGGAGACAGUGGAUAUACUGGGCUAAUGCUGAAGACUGCAAAUAUAGGCAGAAAGGGUGUCCUAUAUUGCUCCUAUACAGGAGGAACUAGACACUCAACCACUGCCUCCUGACUCCAGGUCCUUCUCCAGUUUGCCAAAGGAAAUGUGCCACUCCUGUCACACCAGCUAUCCAUUGCAAAUCCUAGCGCUGCAUGUUGAAACAUGUAAGCCUUCAGAUACUUAUCCACAGGAGCCUACGGAGGAAGAUAUUUUUUGUGUGUCUUCAAAGACAGAGUUGCAGACCGUGUGCCCAAUCUGUGGCCAUAAUUUUCCUCCCAAUGACCUGGAGGCACAUGCAAGCGAGUGUGGAGAGAGCAAAGCUGACUUCAUUCCUUCAACUUCAAAACAAAAGAUGAGCAUUUCUAGGUUUGUAUGCUUCUAUAGUCUCAUUCAAAAGUUUGNACAGUGGGGUCGAUAA
rnacentral:lncRNA from 12 species